rnacentral:rRNA from 1 species
GAUGAACGCUGGCGGCGUGCCUAAUACAUGCAAGUCGAGCGAACAGACGAGGAGCUUGCUCCUCUGACGUUAGCGGCGGACGGGUGAGUAACACGUGGAUAACCUACCUAUAAGACUGGGAUAACUUCGGGAAACCGGAGCUAAUACCGGAUAAUAUAUUGAACCGCAUGGUUCAAUAGUGAAAGACGGUUUUGCUGUCACUUAUAGAUGGAUCCGCGCCGCAUUAGCUAGUUGGUAAGGUAACGGCUUACCAAGGUAACGAUGCGUAGCCGACCUGAGAGGGUGAUCGGCGACACUGGAACUGAGACACGGUCCAGACUCCUACGGGAGGCAGCAGUAGGGAAUCUUCCGCAAUGGGCGAAAGCCUGACGGAGCAACGCCGCGUGAGUGAUGAAGGUCUUCGGAUCGUAAAACUCUGUUAUUAGGGAAGAACAAAUGUGUAAGUAACUAUGCACGUCUUGACGGUACCUAAUCAGAAAGCCACGGCUAACUACGUG